AAGCUCGUAGUUGAAUUUCGGGGUUAGUAGGUUGGUCAUGCCUCUGGUAUGUACUGGUCUCACUGAUUCCUCCUUCCUUAUGAACCGUAAUGCCAUUAGUUUGGUGUUGCGGGGAAUUUGGACUGUUACUUUGAAAAAAAUUAGAGUGUUUAAAGCAAGCUAACGCUUGAAUGCAUUAGCAUGGAAUAAUGAAAUAGGACGUUCGAUCUUAUUUUGUUGGUUUCUAGGAUUGACGUAAUGAUUAAUAGGAUAGUUGGG
rnacentral:rRNA from 1 species